CCUAGAAUCAAGCCCUGAUGUGAAACAGAUUUACGAUGAUCUUCUCUAUAAUUAUAAUAGGCUUAUUCGCCCAGUUCAAUGUCAGUGACAUAUUAACUGUGAGACUUGGAAGCUAUCUCAACUUAUGGAGGUCAAACUAAAGAAUCAAUCAUGGCAACCAAACGAAAUGGCAGGAUUACAAGUUAACCAAGGACCCGGAUGACUACGGCGGUGUUGAGAUGUUGUACGAAUCCUCGGAACACAUUUGGUUGCCAGACGUAGUAUGUUAAUUGGGAUGGAAAUUAUGAGGUAGUGAAGAUUACGAGAAAUCCAGAAGAAAAAUGAAAGUUGUUUACAGGAUUAUUUUUAGGGAUUUUAGGUGUACUUAAAAGGUUUAGUAAAUAAGUUAUAAAAAGGCUUUUAAUAUUACCAUAUUUUUAUUUAAAUUAUUGAAAGACUAAUAUAUAGCUUUAAUCCGUUAUAAUAAUACAUAGCUUUAAUCCGUUGAAGAAG